rnacentral:tRNA from 1 species
UGGCCCAGUUGGUAGAGCAUGGUGUUUGCAAUGCCAGCGUUGUGGGUUCGAUUCCCAC